AAUAAUGAACUCCCUCUCCAAACCCGCUCUAUUUUCUCUCUCCUCCAUUUUAGUAUCAACUAGACAGAGCCUUUGAUCAAAUUCGCUGUGUUCUGAAUUCUGAUACAGAGAGUCCAAGAUUGGAAUUGCGAAUUGCGAAUUGCGAGUGUGUAACCACCAAUUAAGAACCAAACCCUAACCCUAACCCUAUCAACACCAUGAGAGACCAACAAGCUGAGACGAAGAAGAAGAAGAAGAAGAGCGAUGAAUUUGAGUUCUGCAAGGUUUGCAAGCUCAAUCACGACCAAGGAAAUCGCCAUAAGUACUUCCCCAACCACGCCAAGUCUCUCUCCUCCUUCCUCUCUUGCUUCCAGAACAAGCUCUCUGACGUUCUCUUCUUCCUAAAAAACCCUACCCCUCUUCGGCCCGAACACGCCUCUCGCAAUCGACUCUGGUGCGUCUUCUGCGAUUCUGACAUCCACGAGCUCGGUAGCUCUUUUUCCUGUGGUAAUGCAAUCAAUCAUCUGGCGGGUGAUGACCAUUUGAAGAAUUUAAAGAGUUUUCUAUGGAAGCACGGUGGUGGGAUGGAUCGAGUGAAUUCCUUUAGGGUUUCUGAGGCAGAUCUAGCCAAGUGGGAGAGAAAGUGCAAAUCAUUGAAAAGUGAAGCUGCCAAUGAAGGACCAUACAGACCUUUAAUUGGGCCUUCAAAUGAUAUCCACAAUGAACUGAACUCUGAAUGUAUAGAUAGUUUUGACAAAAAUACUAAUCACUUUCUUAAAUCAACUUUUUCUAAUGGUGUUAUGCCUUUACAAAACUAUACGAAUGAGAGAUAUCAGGUUUCCCAUUCAGAAUUAUCUGAAGUCACUGAGUUUGGCCCUCGUCUACAUGAUGCUAAUUCAUAUCUGCCUGUGGGUACACAAUUCAAUACAAAUCCAAGGGGUUUGAAGGAUUUAACAGGUUACAUGGAUAACCAACAGUCUUUUGUUUGUAAUGGUGGAAAAUGGCCGGCCAAUGGCUAUCCCAGUAAUGGAGGUAUGUACCAGGGACAUCCGGAUGAAAGAAUGGUUAAUAGAGAGAGCAGUUCUCAGGGUUUACAGAAUCUUACUCAAAUUUCUUGUAUGGUUCAAGAAUCAGCUAAAGGAAAUGUUCAUUCUGGGGCACCUCCUCCCUGGUUUGAUGCAACGGAAGAAAAUCUACUAAAUGUUAGACUAAAACCAGGAUUAGGAUCAGGUAACCCUGUUUCUUCUCCCAACAAGUCAGGGAAGUCCCAGAAAUUGAAUCCAAAACGGGUGGGAGCUGCAUGGGCUGAGAAGAGAAAGCAUGAGCUCGAGAUGGAGGAGAGAGGAGAGAUUGUUACUGAUAAUUUUGAAGUUAACUGGCUCCCUAAUUUUGGUAGAGUUUGGCAAUCUGGUAGCAGAAAAGAAUCUAGAAAAGAAUUUGAGGUGGAAAAUAAAAAGUCACUCGAGGCUGAAACAGAAACAGAAACAGAGACAUUGAUCAAGAUACAGCCGUAUGUUAGCAAACGAAUGCGAACAGAUGCAAGUAAAUGAUGCUUGAUGGGUUUGGUCACUUUGGUGAUGGUGAUGUCCCGAGGAUGUUUGUUGAUGUUGAAUUGUAGAUGAGGUGGCUAGAAUUUUGUUAUGAAGGGCAAUAUCAUGCUUGAUGGGUUCAUUUUUGUCUGACUAAAUGUCACUCAUUUCAAUCCUUAUUGUACAUAAAGUCAGCAGAAUCACCAGAAACUAUAUAUGAUAAAUCAAUUUCCCUUUCGAAGAAACCAAGUUCUCGUCGCACAGAAACUCCCAAGCAAACCACUUCUCUAUCAUCCGAUCUACGUCAUGAACCACCACGUCAGUCAUAUUCCCAGCUCUAGCUAUCACACUAGCUGUGUAGAUUGCAGUCAUUCUGCCCGGUGCAUCUGGUGUAUCCCCACUUGGUCCGUCCACCACCACCACGUCCCAUUGCUGCUUGUAUACCUCCCUCGGUAACUUCCUCAAAGCUAAGGGGCAACUAGAUUUUUUGAGUGACCCUGAGUGCAGUGCACAACCCAGGCUUUGCCUCGCAUGCUUGAGCAGCUUGUACGCAUCUCUGGCAAGCGUCCGGUACUCGACCCUGUAAAUCUGAGUAUUGUUGUGAUUUGUUUUGAUUGUGGCCAGUUUCUCAGGAUUGUCCUCUAGGAAAACAGUGGUGCCACCUGCGUUGAUUGAUGACGAGAGGUUGAGGUAUUGUGGUUCAAACCCAAAAAUGAGGAGGUUGCAGGGGGCUCUGGCGGAAAUAAUGUUCAACAAAAGGCGGUAUUCUUUCUCGGUGAGGGUGGCGUCACUGGCAGAGGAGACGGGUUGGCUCUUUGAUGCCUUCUUGAACCCCGCCGGAGUAGGAGAGGAACACUUGUGUAGAUGUGUUGGAGGCAAAGCAAGAGGAGGAGAAGAAAAUGAAGUAAAGACAAAGAUUUUGAGGAGUCUGAGAAUGGACAUGCCGGAAAGUAAGAAAAGAAGAACCGGAAUAAGCUUCUUUUUGGGGACUAUCGUCUUCUUCGUUCCUCGGCUGAGAGGUAGCAAUUGAACCAAGGGUGUGACAUUAGGAUGACAUUGUGAUACCUGUGGAGGCAUUUUUGCAGUUUCUUGAGAUAACAUCCUGAUUCAAGGGUAGCGGGGCUUUUGAUUUAGUAGGUUGUUACUUAAAUGGGGAUUAGACCUUUCUUGAGUAAGGAAAAAGGAAUGGGUUUUUGCUUUGGUUUCAAGUGUCGCUUUUUUCUUUCAUUGAGUUAGUCAGUUGUCACCUAAUUUGCUACAGCUAGAAACAACCUGCCUGAGAAUAUGCAUUCAGAAAGAAUAGCGAAAGGUUGGUGAACUAAAUCAUCGGGACUGAUCUUCUGCCAUAAAUGUCCAAAUUUUUAAAGUUAAAUUA